rnacentral:rRNA from 1 species
AUUGAACGCUGGCGGCGUGCCUAACACAUGCAAGUCGAGCGGCAGCGCGGGAGCAAUCCUGGCGGCGAGCGGCGGACGGGUGAGUAACGCUUGGGAAUCUGCCUGUUAGUGGGGGACAACCCGGGGAAACUCGGGCUAAUACCGCAUACGCACUACGGUGGAAAGCCGGGGACCGCAAGGCCUGGCGCUAACAGAUGAGCCCAAGUCGGAUUAGCUAGUUGGUAGGGUAACGGCCUACCAAGGCGACGAUCCGUAACUGGUCUGAGAGGGCGGACGGCCACACUGGGACUGAGACACGGCCCAGACUCCUACGGGAGGCAGCAGUGGGGAAUUUUUCGCAAUGGGGGAAACCCUGACGAAGCAACGCCGCGUGGAGGAUGAAGGCCUU